rnacentral:lncRNA from 1 species
CGGGUAAGAGCUGCUCCAUCUUCAUCAAGGCAUUCUAAGCAGAUUCUUCAGUGAGCUUUACCACUGUUUCAAGCAAAACCCACAAAAAUAUGUGCAAUAAACAAAAUGUGCCAAGUGUAGAAAUAAGAAACAAAUGACAAAGGCUCAGUGUUUUGAAAUUAAGGCUUUGUUUCAUAACUAUUUCUUAAGAAUGCAUAUUGGCCUGGGAUGUUCUAGAAAUCCUUCUCUUAGUGGCUACAGCGGUGAGACAACUGUGUUCCCAUCGCCAUUUCUCCAGAAGUGCUCUGAAAAAACUGCUUCCCCAAUUUUUCCUUGGUGUUAAACUGAGGCCCUUUAGCCAAAAGCUUCUAUUGAUGAUAUCUGAAACCAACUAUGUUUUCCCACUACAAAAAUUAAACCUUGAAGAGACACCAUACAGUUCUUGCUAUUUGCUCUCAGUUCGCCGGUGAAAUUAUUCCAUGUCCUCUCAUAUUACCUCACCAGGUAAUCAAAGGAGGAUGAUCAUCAUUGAGCAAUAGCAAAUAUCAGCAUCCCCAAGGUUUCUGGUCUAUGUAAAUGACUAAACUGCUGAGCAAAAGGCACCUAUGUUUUUAACAACCGAGCACUAUGUAAUGCAAGCUAAAGAAAUAAGCCCAGAAAAAGUUUUCUUAGAAUCUGUUUAAAAAAAAGCCUCCAAAGGAAUGAGCCACAAUCACAUACACUCAUCCAAAAGCAGAUCUUUAAUUUAUUAUUCAAACGUGCAUUACGCCAUGAAUUCAUAGGGAAUUGGCUCCAGCAGCUCCGGAUCCUUCCCGUUAGUCCUCACAAAGUGUGCUUCUCUUGGUGGAGCAGGCUGACGUUUCAGUUGAACCCAAAUGCCUUUUUCUUUUGCUUCCUUUUUCUUCUUUUCAUUCUCCUUCACACGCUGCAAAAAGCUGUCUCUGCUCUUGGAAUGUUUAAUAUGCUCAAUACGCACAUUAAUUCUCUUGGCAAGAAUCUUACCCUUAACCUUCUUGUUAACAAUAACACCCACAGCGUGUUGAGUAACAUUAUACACCCUUCCAGUCUUGCCAUGGUAACACUUGUGAGGCAUACCUUGUUGAACUGUACCCAUACCCUUGAUAUCAACUAUAUCGCCUUUCUUGUAGAUGCGCAUAUAGGUAGCCAGAGGGACAACUCCAUGUUUGCGAAAGGGCCUCGAGAACAUAUAACGAGUUCCCCUCCUCUUUCCCUUUGUGUUCGUCAUUUUGGCUGAUUAAAGAUGGCGGCGCGGGCCGAAAGGAGAGAGGCGGCGCCGCGGCCGCCCUUAACAGCGGGGCCUCGGCGGGGCUGCCCGCCCUGCGCCUGACAGAAAGCGUGCGGCGGGCUGCCCGCUGCCUGCCUGCGCAGGGCGGCGAGUGGUUGUUACUUAAAGAUAAUAGAUAAAAGAUAAUAGAUAAAAAUGUAUUUGAUCCCCUUACUAACUUCACAGUUAUUCUGAUGUGUAUCCUGCAAAACGCAGGCCUAAAAGCCCUUUCUGUCAACGUUUACAGCGAGUUUAAUAUUCAUGGGCCGCAAUGGUUGUGGAGGAUGAGGUGCGCGGUCAGGUUCUGCCUGCAGAACUAGCUGGCGGAGCAUGUUCUGACACAGAAGGGCCCUGUCUGUGCACAAAAUCCAUUAAACUGUUGUAGUUGGAAACACGCAGACUGUAUUCCAGCUCCGCGCUAUGAAAAAAGCCCAACCUGAUAUCUCUGAUACCUGUGCAAGGGAAAUCUGUAUCAUUCAAUAAGCAUUCAGGUGCCAGGAAAUGCCCCCAGGCUUGGAGGAAGGCUGAGCAGCCCUUGGGUGAAGAAACAUAUUGGCAACAGAGAUGUCAGGAAGGACAUCAAGCAGAGCGAAGACAGGAGGCUAAAUCCAAUCCUAAGGUGUUAUUGAAUAAAGAAAGAUCGUUAUCUUCAGUGAGCUGAACUCCUUCCUCCUGCCAGUGAUUUUCAUAAAGGGUGCAUUUCCACAUUGAGCAGGAAAGAAUGGGAAAGAAACUCCACAUGUUGAAACAGAUUUCAGCGUACAGAUCUUGUAAGUGUAAUUCAUAAAGGAGCAGCAACUAUGAACUGAAUUGAACUCUGCUUUACUUGGGAUCCAGUCAGACAUUCAGGAUUUGCUACAUUUUUUUUCCCCCUGAAUAAAUGGCACGGUGGCUUUAUUUGAAAUUUCAAUAUUGUUCUCAUUUCUAACAUUUAUUUUGAUGCUCAACAUUUCAAAGAGUCAGUUAUAUUUCAGAAUUUGUUACCAUAGAAUCAUUUACUGGCCAUGCUGUCAGGGUCUGACCCAG